rnacentral:lncRNA from 1 species
CGUGCUGGGCGCUCUCUCCCCGCGCGGGGGCACCAGAGCCCUCAGAAGUGUCAGGCACUGCGGUGCAUUUUCCCAGUUCUCUUUUAAAUGACUGCGGAAAAACAGACUCCGAGCCGCAAAAGGGAAGACGGAUUCUCAGACAAGGCUUGUGAAUGCCCCGCAGCCAUCAUUUAACUGCGCCCGCAGAACAGUUACGGUUUGUCACCCGACCCUCCCGGACCGCCUAAUUUGUCCCUAGUGAGACCCCGAGGCUCUGCCCGCACCUGGCUUCUUCGUAGCUGGAUGCAUAUCGUGCUCCGGGCAGCGGGGGCGCAGGGCACGCGUUCGCGCACACCCGCACACACAUGAACACGCGCAAGAGCUGAACCAAGCCGGGUUUCCAUUUCAAAAAGGGAGACAGCCGCUACCGCGAUUGUAGAAGAGACUGUGGUGUGAAUUAGGGACCGGGAGGCGUCGAGCGGAGGAACGGUUCAUCUUAGAGACUAAUUUUCUGGAGUUUCUGCCCCUGCUCUGCGUCAGCCCUCACGUCACUUCGCCAGCAGUAGCAGAGGCGGCGGCGGCGGCUCCCGGAAUUGGGUUGGAGCAGGAGCGUCUCUCGCUGCUUCGCUCGCGCUCUACGCGCUCAGUCCCCGGCGGCAGCAGGAGCCUGGAGCCAGGCGCCGCCGGCGGGCGUGAGGCGCCGGAGUCUGGCCUCGAGGUGCAUACCGGACCCCCAUUCGCGUCUAACAAGAAGCCUGCGCCCCUGAGAGUCCCGGGAG